rnacentral:rRNA from 1 species
AUUGAACGCUGGCGGCAGGCCUAACACAUGCAAGUCGAGCGGAUGAAGGGAGCUUGCUCCUGGAUUCAGCGGCGGACGGGUGAGUAAUGCCUAGGAAUCUGCCUGGUAGUGGGGGAUAACGUCCGGAAACGGGCGCUAAUACCGCAUACGUCCUGAGGGAGAAAGUGGGGGAUCUUCGGACCUCACGCUAUCAGAUGAACCUAGGUCGGAUUAGCUAGUUGGUGGGGUAAAGGCCUACCAAGGCGACGAUCCGUAACUGGUCUGAGAGGAUGGUCGGUCACACGAGAGCUUGGACACGGUCCAGACUCCUACGGUAGGGAGCAGUCGGGAAUAUUGGACAGUGGGCGAGAGCCUGAUACAGCCAUGCCGCGUGUGUGAAGAAGGUCUUCGGAUUGUAAAGCACUUUAAGUUGGGGGGAAGGGCAGUAAGUUAAUACCUUGCUGGUUUGACGUUACCAACAGAAUAAGCACCGGCUAACUUCGUG